GGACCGCGGCAGGGCCUCGGCCUGGACCGGGGCGCAGCGCCCCUGACACCGGCUGAGCGCGGGCCUGUAGGAGACAUAAGACCUGGGCGACCUACAGGAUGGACUGUAAACUCCACAGGACUCGGCCAGCGAGGACCCGGAGGGACUCCCGCGCAGUAGGAGAAAAUUGCCCGCUGCUGCCCCGGGUGAGCCCUCCGCCCCGGGCGAGCCUGCUGCCACGGCCCCGCUGAGAGCUGGUAGAAGGCCUCUUGCCGCCCCUCUGUCUCCCAGCCCAGGAUCUGAAUUCGGACAGGAGCCACCAGCUGGAGGGGGCAGCCCACAGCUGGGCAGAAGGACGGAUAGCACCCGUGCUUUAGCUCGUUCCAGCCCAUCCAUGUGGGUCGCCGCCGCUAGACUCCUGCACAUUCUGAGGCACCAAGAGAGGAAAUAACCCCAUAGAUGUCUCCUCCCCACCCGAGAGGGGCUCCCAGCCCCCCUGUUUUGGCCCCAGCCAACCCCCCUCCUGCCCAGCCCCCUCCUUGUCCAAAAGACGUUUUUUCAUGAAUCUGGGGCUGUAACAUAAUAAAAAAAUGAAUACACUGUGCCCCUUAAUGGCAGGGAUGCGCUGAGUCAUGCAUCGCUAGGUGAAUUCGUCACUGUGUAAACAUCAUAGAGAAAAGGCUACAAAGGGCUAAUUCCAAUGUAACCCUGAUCUUUGGGGGGCUAGCCAUUGGAAUCCAUGCCAGCAGGCCCAGUGGACAUUCCUGAUAAUCUAUAAUUAAGCCACUACCUCCUUCCCAGAAACUGGUCUUGCAGAACCUGUUACAGAGGCCAUAAAACUGUGAACAGUGCACUGCCCCAGAGGGAGGGUGAUUAACGCUGGCGCCAGGCCAGACCAUCAGAUAUGGCCCUGAGACCCCCAACACCUGGGGGCCUUCUUGCAAGGCCCGCGAAAAGGACCCGAAGCAUAAUUCAUAUUUGCAGGACAAAGACCACAGGGAGAUAUAAAGAGAAGCCCCCUGCAUGUUUCUUCACUCAGAUUUGGAAAGUUAUUCCCUGAGUCCGCUGGCAUAUUAAACAGUGUCCCUCCUUUUCUUUAAAGCGUCGCUUGGUUUUUCUGUCGUCUUCUGCAACAAUAGAGCACCUACAUGGCUCUAUGGCUACCACCAGAAUACAUGCAGUUCAUCCUUGCCAAAACCUGGUUAUGAGGGGAAUGGCUGUACUUGGUGUUUGUUCCAGAUCCUGGCACGUAGCUCCUAAAACCCUUGGAAUUUCCAGAGUGAUAAGAGUGUCUUUUGUAUGAUAAAAAAAACCAUUGA